ensembl:lncRNA
CCCAAUCUUUGCCACUCUGUGGUAAAACUUUUUCUUCCUCAGCUCCUUUGAUAAAUAUCACAGCAUCAUGUGGCAGAGGUCAACAUUUUUAAAUUUCCAGACUCAUAUUGUAAUUAUCUAUGAAAAAAAACAGUGCUACUGAGAUCUGGUCCUGUCAGCAAAGUCAGCGCUUGUACCUUCUCCAGGAGGCAAUACUGUCCAAGGAAGAGAACAAAGCGCGAGAAAUCUGAAUUUGGCAAAUGCUCACUCUCAGAGCCUCGUGAAGAUUUUCAGAUAGGCUUUGCAGGCUCUGAGAAUUAAGCUCGCGGCUGUGGUGUCUAGCACGUGUCAUAUCUAAUGAUUGUGUAGAGUACUGCAGGAUUGCAUAUGGGAAUUAUACGUUUCCUUUGAGUUACCAUGAACAGUACCGGUCAGGCUAAAGGACAGCGUGCUGUUUUUCUGAUCAAAUAAGGGAAGAGACAAAAUGAAGACCUUCAGCUUCCCUCAGCACCAAAGUACUUAACGCUCUUGGGGAGACCCACCAGCAAUCAGCAUCACCCCAUGCAGCCCUUUCCAGGCUGUAUCCUUUACAAGAAAUGCUCCAGGGGUCAGAUCUGUCCUCCUUUAUGCUCCCCAGUUUUCUGCUAUGCAUCAUGCAUCAAUAUAUCCCAGAUGCAAGGCUAAAAUCCUUUGUCUCUCCAAACAUCCUCUGGAAAACAGGGAGUGAAAAAGAUUAACUAGAACCAGAAUCUGAAGGACGUGUGCUUCCAUAAAUGCAACACAAGGCAUGGUUUGACGGGUGGAAAUUUAUGGUGAUAAUGAAGAAUUCAAGGAGAACACAGCUUGGAUUUCAAGAAGGUCAGAAGCCUGCAGAGUUGGCAGGUGGACACGAUUUUAUGACGGAUGCUCAGAGCAAGAGACAUUUUGAAUACUUCACAAAUGGUAUCGAAGACAUGGAAUUCCUAGCUUCCAUCCUGAGAGUUAACAUUCGCUGUUUCUACAGGCUGAUCAAACCAUGGUAAUUUUUAUAAAGAUAGCAAAGCAAUAUGUUGUAUUCUAUAGUGUAUUUUUUCUGCAAACACAAAAUGUUACACGUUGCAAGUGAUUUUUGCAAGUACUUAAGGAAUCAGUAGUUCCCCAGAAUAAAAGACCCUGAAAUAUUGGAUCAUAUGGGCUCAAAAGACAUAGGACUCAUCCUACAGACACUGUUUUAUUGUACUUUAAUCAAAGCUCAAUUAGUCACAAGAUUUAAACAGAUUUCAGCAAUAAAAUGGAUGUCUCAGACUUGUCUUAUGCAACCAAAGGGCAAAAGAAUAAUGUUUUUUUUUUUAAUGGAAAACAUUUUUGCUUGAGUUAAGGAACAUUUACAAAAUAACUGCCAAAUCACACUACUUGUGAAAGUGAAAUGUUUUAAUUGGCUUUCAAAAUUUUUCUGAUGAAGCAAAUUUUUUGUCUUUUCCAUCUGCAGACCUAAAACCACCCUAUGACUGACAGUAGUUCCUUCAGGUACUGCAUUAGCACUGUCAUUAUUAUUCUUGAGUAUUAUCAGGACUCUUGUUGUAGCUCUAUGAAAUGUUUUCCUUAUGGCAGACAAAUCUUGUCACCAAAUGUUCUCUAAUGCAUUUAUAGCUGAUGUGUAUUAAAGAUAAAUAAAUAGCAAAUUAUACAUGUGACGUCACCUAAUAGUCUUGUUACAAUAUUUAUUAUGUCUGUGGCCAUACACUGGUCUAGCUCUUUCUCCCACUCUCUAUUUUCCACAAUUUAGUGAUUAAUGGUUAAAAAAGACAAAACCUUUGCCAAUUUGAACAAAUAGUUCUAGGGAUUUGAUACAUCUGGG